UCCCAUAACCAAAAUAACUGAAAUAAUCAUCAAAAAUAGUAAACAUAAGUCUGAGAAAUAAAAAAAAAGGAAACGCCUAAAAGCACCAGUUGUCUGAUCAAAUUCCUACUCGUCAGUCUCACCAGCAAGGGGACAAAAGAGGGGUGAGUAACAGGGGAAUCACUCAGUGAGGUAUGGGAUGCUAAACCCGAAGUCCACAGACCCGGGCAUAGCACUCUGAAUAAAUAUAAUUUAAUCCUAACACACUGCAAACACGGUACCUAAAGUACCCAAAGAUCAAACAACAAUCCUAGCGAGGUGCGCACUCGUUGCCCACUAACAGGCCAAAAACACCACCGAAUAUGUGGUCGGUCAAACACGCGCAUAGACGAUUUAUCUACACCUCCAGGUUACAGCUCAAUUGGUUAACUGUAGCUGGCCGUAACCUCCAUACA
rnacentral:lncRNA from 1 species